UUAUGCCUUUGAUGACAGCACAACAAAUGAAAUGGUUUACAGGUUUACUGCAAGACCCCUUGUGGAAACCAUCUUUGAUAGAGGAAUGGCCACAUGCUUUGCUUAUGGCCAAACAGGAAGUGGAAAAACUCAUACCAUGGGUGGAGAUUUUUCAGGAAAGAACCAGGAUUGU